CUGGCGGCGUGCCUAACACAUGCAAGUCGAGCGAUUUACUUCGGUAAAGAGCGGCGGACGGGUGAGUAACGCGUGGGUAACCUGCCUCAUACACAUGGAUAACAUACCGAAAGGUAUGCUAAUACAGGAUAAUAUAAGAGAUUCACAUGGAUUUCUUAUCAAAGCUCCGGCGGUAUGAGAUGGACCCGCGUCUGAUUAGCUAGUUGGUAAGGUAAUGGCUUACCAAGGCGACGAUCAGUAGCCGACCUGAGAGGGUGAUCGGCCACAUUGGAACUGAGACACGGUCCAAACUCCUACGGGAGGCAGCAGUGGGGAAUAUUGCACAAUGGGCGAAAGCCUGAUGCAGCAACGCCGCGUGAGUGAUGAAGGCCUUCGGGUCGUAAAACU
rnacentral:rRNA from 1 species